CAUUCAAAGAGUGCGUAAUAGCUCACUAGUCGAGUGACCCUGCGCCGAAAAUGUAACGGGGCUAAACAGAUUACCGAAGCUGUGGAUUGGACCUUAUGGUCCAGUGGUAGGAGAGCGUUCUAAGGGCGGAGAAGCAUGACCGUAAGGACAUGUGGAGCGCUUAGAAGUGAGAAUGCCGGUAUGAGUAGCGAAAGACGGGUGAGAAUCCCGUCCACCGAAUAACUAAGGUUUCCUGGGGAAGGCUCGUCCUCCCAGGGUUAGUCGGGACCUAAGGCGAGGCCGAUAGGCGUAGUCGAUGGACAACAGGUUGAUAUUCCUGUACUUCUAUAAAUCGUUUGAGCAAUGGAGGGACGCAGGAGGCUAAGAAAAGCGUACGACUGGAAGUGUACGCCCAAGCAGUGAGUCGGCUGAUGAGUCAAAUGCUUAUCACAGAUGCGACAAGCUGUAACGGGGAGGGAAGUUUAGUACCGAAGUUUCUGAUGUCACACUGCCGAGAAAAGCUUCUAGCAAGAUUUAUAGGACCCGUACCGCAAACCGACACAGGUAGUUGAGGAGAGAAUCCUAAGGUGAGCGAGCGAACUCUCGUUAAGGAACUCGGCAAAAUGACCCCGUAACUUCGGGAGAAGGGGUGCUGGUAGCAAUACCAGCCGCAGUGAAUAGGCCCAGGCGACUGUUUAUCAAAAACACAGGUCUCUGCAAAAUCGAAAGAUGACGUAUAGGGGCUGACGCCUGCCCGGUGCUGGAAGGUUAAGAGGAGAGGUUAGCGCAAGCGAAGCUUUGAAUUGAAGCCCCAGUAAACGGCGGCCGUAACUAUAACGGUCCUAAGGUAGCGAAAUUCCUUGUCGGGUAAGUUCCGACCCGCACGAAAGGCGUAACGAUUUGGGCACUGUCUCAACGAUGGACUCGGUGAAAUCAUAGUACCUGUGAAGAUGCAGGUUACCCGCGACAGGACGGAAAGACCCCAUGGAGCUUUACUGUAGUUUGAUAUUGAGUGUUUGUGUCACAUGUACAGGAUAGGUAGGAGCUGAAGAAUCCGGGACGCCAGUUUCGGAGGAGGCAACGGUGGGAUACUACCCUUGUGACAUGACCACUCUAACCCGCACCCCUUACCGGGGUGGGAGACAGUGUCAGACGGGCAGUUUGACUGGGGCGGUCGCCUCCUAAAGUGUAACGGAGGCGCCCAAAGGUUCCCUCAGAAUGGUUGGAAAUCAUUCGAAGAGUGUAAAGGCAGAAGGGAGCUUGACUGCGAGACCUACAAGUCGAGCAGGGACGAAAGUCGGGCUUAGUGAUCCGGUGGUUCCGUAUGGAAGGGCCAUCGCUCAACGGAUAAAAGCUACCCUGGGGAUAACAGGCUUAUC
rnacentral:rRNA from 1 species